GCCCUGGGGAAGCUCUUACUCAUUCAGAAGCAGCAGUUCAGCCGCGAGCCUGUAGUCUGGGGCCCUCCAAGGCGGGAUCUGGUAUAUGUACGUUUCCUUUUCCUUUUUUUAAAGAUUGGCACCUGAGCUAACAACUGUUGCCAAUCUUCCUUUUUUUUUUUUUCCUGCUUUUUCUCCCCAAAUCUCCCCGGUACAUAGUUGUAUAUUUUAGUUGUGGCAUGUGGGACACCGCCUCAGCAUGGCCUGAUGAGCGGUGCCAUGUCCGCACCCAGGAUCUGAACCGGUGAAACCCUGGGCCGCGGAAGCGGAGCGCGGGAUCUUAACCACUCAGCCACGGGUUGGCACCUGAUACAAUCAAAGAUAACCAGAUGUGUGGGGAGACGAGACUCCAUAGAGGAGAACGAGCAGACAGCCACAACCGACGGAGCCGUGGAGACCCCAGGUACUGCAAAGAGCGGGAACAGCCUUCGCACAACUGUCCUGACUAUGUUCAAGGAGGUAAAAGUCAUUUAGGUAAUUUGUAUAAUAAUAAUAAACUGGAUUUCUGGACCAGCCAAGUCAAGGCCUCUGAGUACAGUGACAGCAUCAAGAUCACAACACCCCUGGAAUCAUACACCCCCCGGUACAUAGUUGUGUAUUCUCCGUUGUGGGUUCCUCUAGUUGUGGCAUGUGGGACGCUGCCUCAGCGUGGUCUGACGAGCAGUGCCAUGUCCGCGCCCAGGAUUCGAACCGAC
rnacentral:lncRNA from 1 species